rnacentral:lncRNA from 1 species
UUAAUUGUGUGUCAACUGGAAUUCAAGAAACUGUCUUCCUGUUUGGGGAGUUGCUGUUCCCAUUUUCCAGAUAGCAAACUGAGAUCCCAGCAAGGACGGCGUGAGGUCCCACCUGUCAGCUCAGCUAACGGACAAGGGAGCUCAUCUGGGUGCACGUGGGGAAGAGGACAGUGGAGACUAGAUGUAAGCCCCUAAGAAGAUGCACAUCUGCAGAUACAGUUCCUUUUGGGAGAACAAGAAAACAGAUUGCAGAGGUGCUGAAUCCUAUAUUCUCCCUUUUGGAAAGUCACAGCUACCGGGGCUGAGAAUAAAAUCCAGUUGAGCUUUCUUCAUUCUUCGGCAGCCUAGAGCACCUUAGAAUGAAUGUGCCAUAUUUUAGAAACACUUCUUAGAGGUAAGCACUUAGAGUAGUUUCUUUCUUUCUUUUUUUUUUUUUUUAAAAGUAAGCCCUACCCCCAACAUGGCUUGAACCAACAAUCCGGAGAUUAACAGUUGCACGCUCCACUGACUGAGCCAGCCAGGUGCUUCU